rnacentral:rRNA from 1 species
AUUGAACGCUGGCGGAAUGCUUUACACAUGCAAGUCGAACGAUGAAGCCUAGCUUGCUAGGUCGAUUAGUGGCGAACGGGUGAGUAAUAUAUCGGAACGUAUCCAAUAAUGGGGGAUAACUAGUCGAAAGAUUGGCUAAUACCGCAUACGUCCUACGGGAGAAAGCUGGGGAUCGUAAGACCUGGCGUUAAUGGAGCGGCCGAUAUCUGAUUAGCUAGUUGGUGAGGUAAAGGCUCACCAAGGAGACGAUCAGUAGCUGGUCUGAGAGGACGACCAGCCACACUGGAACUGAGACACGGUCCAGACUCCUACGGGAGGCAGCAGUGGGGAAUUUUGGACAAUGGGCGAAAGCCUGAUCCAGCCAUUCCGCGUGAGUGAAGAAGGCCUUCGGGUUGUAAAGCUCUUUCGCAAGGGAAGAACACUUACUUAAUAACACUAAGUGAGGUUGACGGUACCUUGAUAAGAAGCACCGGCUAACUACGUGCCAGCAGCCGCCGUAAUAC